rnacentral:rRNA from 1 species
UACGUAGGGGGCGAGCGUUGUCCGGAAUCAUUGGGCGUAAAGCGCGUGUAGGCGGCCCGGUAAGUCCGCUGUGAAAGUCCAGGGCUCAACCCUGGGAUGCCGGUGGAUACUGUCGGGCUCGAGUCCGGAAGAGGCGAGUGGAAUUCCUGGUGUAGCGGUGGAAUGCGCAGAUAUCAGGAGGAACACCAAUAGCGAAGGCAGCUUGCUGGGACGGUACUGACGCUAAGGCGCGAAAGCGUGGGGAGCGAACAGG